UACGUAGGGUGCAAGCGUUAAUCGGAAUUACUGGGCGUAAAGCGUGCGCAGGCGGCUUUGCAAGACAGAUGCGAAAUCCCCGGGCUUAACCUGGGAACUGCAUUUGUGACUGCAUGGCUAGAGUGCGGCAGAGGGGGAUGGAAUUCCGCGUGUAGCUGUGAAAUGCGUAGAUAUGCGGAGGAACACCGAUGGCGAAGGCAAUCCCCUGGGCCUGCACUGACGCUCAUGCACGAAAGCGUGGGGAGCAAACAGG
rnacentral:rRNA from 1 species